AUGGAGGGGGAGCCGCCCGCGCAGGGCCCGCCCCCCAGCGCCGCCGCCGCCUCCGCCUCCGGCCCCGGCGGCGGCGGCGGCGGCGGGGAGAAGGGCGCCCCGUGCCAGGAGUGCGGGGAGCAGCCGUGGAAGUACCGGUGCCCGGGCUGCUCGCGCCUCACCUGCAGCCUCCCCUGCGUGCAGGCCCACAAGCGCCGCACCGCCUGCUCCGGCAAGCGCCCCCGCACCGUCCCCGUCCCGCUCGCCCAGUUCGACGACAACCAGCUCCUCUCCGAUUACAACUUGUUGGAGGAGACGAGCAUGGUCAGGGAGUCAGCCCACAGGCUGCUCGGCGGCUUGGGCCGCAACUUCGGCUGCGGCUUCGAGGGACGCCAUGGCGCCCAGCUGCCGCCGUGGCUCUCCUUCCUCCGCAAGGCCGCGGAGCGCCGGGGCGUCCGGCUCGCCUUCCAACCCACUGGCAUGACCAGGAGGGAGCAGAACCGCUCGCGGCACGACAGGAGAAGUGACUGCAUAUACUGGACAGUCGAGUGGAAGUUCAAUUCAACAGAUAUUUUCCUAACUGACGAGCAGACAGACGAGAAUGCAAGCUUGCUAUCUUUAUUGGAAAAGCAUCUGACUCCUUCCCCUUGGAAGGACCAGCUUACGCCAUAUCGCAAUACUGAACUGCGUGAUUUGAAACUGUUCAUUCAGAAGUCUGCCAAGAAUUCAAAGUCGCCACACCGUCAACUCAAUAUAGAAGAGCCCUUGCGCCCCCAACUGAGGGGCACUCUUAUUGUCGAGUACCCAACUAUCAAUGUCUUCCUUCCAUCAGAUAGUUACGAGUUUCAAGUCGAGAAGCCUGCAAACAAGAUUAGCAGAAAUGAGCAGCCCCCUGGCACUUCGAAUGAUAGCCCUCCUAUAGAAGGCACCCAGUUUCAGGAGGAAGAAAUAGAGGAAGGCGAGUUGUCUCCAGAGACGCAGGUUAUUGAUCUCAAGGAUUCUGGUCCGUCACGUACCACAAAUCUUUCUCAAGUGAAGGUUACGAGUGAACCUAAGAUGGACAGCAUGCCGUCGUAUGUCCGUGGUCUGGCAUUUGGUGGUAAACAGGGGGAAGUUGAUCAACAUAGCAAGAUGGCAUCGAACAUGACUCCUGGGGCUCCAAAGGCUGAAUCCUGCAUGAAAGUCUACCCAGUGGACUUGAAGGAAGGAGUUGAAGGUGGGACCUUAGAGGGUCAGGUUAUUGACCUCAAGAACCAUGCAGCUUCAGAUCCUGCUAAAGAUAUGAAAACACCUGACACAGAUCGCAAGAUAGAUUCUUCAGUGCUGUCUCCCAUCAGUACUCUAGCAUCUGAGGUCUCGAGUCAUCCUCAGGAAGAAGAACACAACCAAGAAAGCAAGCUGACGCCAUCCGCAACCCCUGAAGCUCUGAAGAAGAGAUCUCUCACAAAAGUCUACCCGCUGGACAUCGACGACGCCCAGGGGGUACUGCUCUCGGAGCUGCCCAGCGUGGAGUUUGAGCAGGAGAUGGGAGACGCCUACGAGGAGCUGUUUGGGGACAUGAACCCCGAUGACUUCCUUGACUUUGAUCUCGGGACGAUGGACGUGGACGGGUACGGCGAAAUGAGGUCCCCGUUGAAGCUGUGGGACGAUGAUUUGGAGGAAGGCGAGAUCCCCUCGCAGCUCUGA
rnacentral:rRNA from 1 species